rnacentral:rRNA from 1 species
UACGUAGGGGCCUAGCGUUGUCCGGAAUCAUUGGGCGUAAAGAGCGCGUAGGCGGCCCGGUAAGUCCGCUGUAAAAGUCAAAGGCUCAACCUUUGAAUGUCAGUGGAUACUGCCGGGCUAGAGUCCGGAAGAGGCGAGUGGAAUUCCUGGUGUAGCGGUGGAAUGCGCAGAUAUCAGGAGGAACACCAACGGCGAAGGCAGCUCGCUAGGACGGUACUGACGCUGAGGCGCGAAAGCGUGGGGAGCAAACAGG